GACAGGUGCUGCAUGGCUGUCGUCAGCUCGUGUUGUGAAAUGUUGGGUUAAGUCCUAUAACGAGCGCAACCCUUAUCUUAUUUUACUAAAAUAAUCUUAGAACUAAUAAGAAACUGCCUAUGAUAAAUUGGAGGAAGGUGAGGACGACGUCAAGUCAUCAUGGCCCUUAUGGGUAGGGCUACACACGUGCUACAAUGAGUAAAACAAAAAGUUGUGCUAUACGGUAACGUAAUGCUAAUCUUUAAAAUUACUCUUAGUUCGGAUUGGAAUCUGUAACUCGAUUCCAUGAAGUUGGAAUCGCUAGUAAUCGUAAAUCAGAAUGUUACGGUGAAUACGUUCUCGAGCCUUGUACACACCGCCCGUCACACCAUGGAAGUAAAUUGUAUCAGAAAUAAUUUAAUUAUUAUAACGGUAUGAUUUGUAACUGGGGUGAAGUCGUAACAAGGUAGCCGUAGGGGAACCUGUGGCUGGAUAUAAAUAUAU
rnacentral:rRNA from 2 species